rnacentral:rRNA from 1 species
CACGGGGGGAGCAAGCGUUGUUCGGAAUCACUGGGCGUAAAGGGCGUGUAGGCGGUCAGGUAAGUGGGAUGUGAAAUGCCCCCGGCUCACCCGGGGACCGGCAUCCCAUACUGCUUGGCUUGAGUACGGGAGAGGAUGUGGGAAUUCCUGGUGUAGCGGUGAAAUGCGUAGAUAUCAGGAGGAACACCGGUGGCGAAGGCGCACAUCUGGCCCGAUACUGACGCUGAGGCGCGAAAGCUAGGGGAGCAAACGGG